UCUGGCGAUGAUGACACACUUGCCCUCACUGAGAGUGCUGCUCAGUGACGAGACUCGCACUGUGUACUCCAGAGCUGAGCCAGA
ensembl:snoRNA small nucleolar RNA SNORD103/SNORD85